GCCAGGUACUUAUCCUGGUCUCCCAUGGGGUGCAGGGCCCAAGUACCUGGGCCAUCCUCCACUGCACUCCCUGGCCACAGCAGAGAGCUGGCCUGGAAGAGGGGCAACCAGGACAGAAUCCGGCUCCCCAACCGGGACUAGAACCUGGUGUGCCGGCGCCGCAAGGCUGAGGAUUAGCCUAGUGAGCUGCGGCGCCGGCCAAAAGAGUUUCUUUACAGCAAAGGAAACAGUCAGCAAAGUGAAGAGGCAACCAACAGAAUGGGAGACGUUAUUCGCAACUACACAACAGAUAAAGGAUUAACAACUAGAAUCUAUAAAAUGAUCAAAAAACACCACAGAAUCAAAACAAACAACCCAAUAAAAAAUGGGCCAAGGACCUUAACAGACAUUUUUCAAAAGAGGAAAUCCAAAUGGCCAACAGACACAUGAAAAAAUGCUCAGGAUUCCUAGCCAUCAGGAAAAUGCAGAUCAAAACCACAAUGAGGUUUCACCUCACUCUGGUUAGAUUGGCUUACAUACAGAAAUCAACCAACAACAGAUGCUGGCGAGGAUGUGGGGAAAAAGGGACACUAAUCCACUGUUGGGGGAAUGCAAACUGGUAAAGCCACUAUGGAAGACAGUUUGGAGAGUCCUCAGAAAUCUGAAUAUAGCACUACCACAGGACCUAGCCAUCCCACUCCUUGGAAUUUACCCAAAUGGAAUUAAAGGGGAGAAAAAAAGAGCCAUUUGCAGCUCAAUAUUUGUUGCAGCUCAAUUCACAAUAGCUAAGACAUGGAAUCAACCUAAAUGUCCAUCAACGGAUGACUGGAUAAAGAAACUAUGGGAUAUGUACUCUAUGGAACACUAUACGGCAGUAAAAAGCAAUGAAAUCCGGGCAUUUACAACAAAAUGGAGGAAUCUGGAACACAUCAUGCUGAGUGAAUUAAGCCAGUCCCAAAGGGACAAAUAUCAUAUGUUCUCCCUGAUCAAUGGCAACUAAACGAGCAUCUAAAAUGAUACCCAUUGAAGUGAAAUGGACACUAUAGAGACAAUGACAUGAUCAGCCCUUGUCUAGACUGUUGAGGAACAACUUAUUAUUUUAUUCCUUUUAGUAUUUUAGUUGUUAUUGCUGUUGUUACUCUGUUUGUUCUACAUAAGACUCUGUAAUCAAUGCACAAUCAUUCUUAGGCAUUUAAAAUUAACAGAAAAGUGGCCGGUGCCGCGGCUCAUUAGGCUAAUCCUCUGCCUUGCGGCGCCGGCACACCGGGUUCUAGUCCCGGUCAGGGCGCCGGAUUCUGUCCUGGUUGCCCCUCUUCCAGGCCAGCUCUCUGCUGUGGCCAGGGAGUGCAGUGGAGGAUGGCCCAGGUACUUGGGCUCUGCACCCCAUGGGAGAUCAGGAUAAGUACCUGGCUCCUGCCAUAGGAUCAGCGUGGUGCGCCGGCCGCAGCGCGCCGGCUGCAGUGGCCAUUGGAGGGUGAACCAACAGCAAAGGAAGACCUUUCUCUCUGUCUCUCUCUCUCACUGUCUACUCUGCCUGUCCAAAAAAAAAAAAAAAAUUAACAGAAAAGUGAUCUCUGUUAAACAUAGGAGUGGGAAUAAGGGAGGGAGGAGAUAGAUAGGUUGGCACAUGCUCACUUGGACUUACCUCCUAGAAAUGUGCCAGGGGAUUUCAACUCAAUCUUACCAAGGAGGCAGGUACCAAUGCCAGCGCACUUGGCCAGCGCACUUGGUAAAGUGAUAAGUAUAAAUACACAACAGAUCCAAAAGAUAGGGUAAGUGUCGAAGAGAUUUCACAAAUAAGACCAGUGUAAGCAAAUAAUGAAGGAUAGAAUUAAAAGGGAGAGAAUGAUCCUGCGGGGGAAACAGAACACACAGCAGACUCAUAGAAUGGCAGCACUCCUGCCUCAGAAUCAACCCUUGGGACAUUCAGAUCUGGCUAAAAGGUCCAUGAAAGUCUCACAGGCAUGGAAAGCCAUGACAGGGUGGCAAAAAACAAUCUAAAUGAAAGAUCCUGGUGAACAAGACCCCAGCAGAAGGAACAGGCCAUCAAGGAGAGAGGCGCCUUUCUCUGAAGGGAGGAAGGAACCUCCACUGUGAUAUGGCCUUGACUAAACAAGUUCAGAGUCGGUGAACUCAAGGGGCUUCCAUAACCUAGACAGCUCAUAGCAAGAGUCUUGGGUGAUUGCUGACGUCAUAAAUAAUGGGAGUCACUGGGUACAUGCUCCCCACGUAGGAUCUCUGUCCUUAAUGUGUUUUACUAUGAAACUUAAAAACAACACUACUAGUUGAACAAUACCCUAUACCUUGUGUGGUUGUGUGAGUACAGCCUGUUGAAAUCCUUGCUUAGUAUAUACUAAGUUGAUCUUCAGUAUAUGAAGCGCACACACAGCCUCUUCUUCCCACACCUGGAAGGGACAGUGGAGGCAACAAAUUGAACCCAAAUCAAAAGGAAGCGAUCUUGAUGCAGCACUGAGAACGCCAGGAUGAUUAAUCUCCUCUGGGCCAUCUCGAGUGGAGUGUAAUGGUUUUGGUCCCCAAACACUAGCGCCUCUCUUUCCUGAAGCGGCAAAAUUACAGGUAAUUGCUUUUGGGAAGAGCCAAAUAGCGGAUGGCUUCUGCUCUGACCAGAUUUAUUUUAAUCCUCAAUAAACAGAGUAAUAGCAUCCUUUCCUCUACUCUCCAGGUCAUUAGGGAGGCUUGGGCUGUGACCGUCCCUGGACGCAGGACCUGCAACCAAAUGCAGCAAGCUGCACCACAGAUGAUCACCCCAUCUUAUUGUCAGGUUGCAGAAGAGAUGGCCCAUAAACAAUCUGGAGUCUUCUCCUGGCAGCCGUUGCCCAGAGCCACAUGGAAGGAAAGGGCACAGUGGAAAGAGAGCUGAGGGCUUGGGCCGAGAGGUGAGGGGUGGGGUUUCUGGCAGAGCCCCUCCCUUCUCCCAUUCUACAACCCUAGGGGCUGCCCCCACGGGGCAUGGAUGGAGAGUGCCCCCUUCCCAGGUGGUGAGGCAGAGAGGCAGGUCUGGGGGGCUGGAGGAAUCUUCCAGAAUACAUGAGAAGAGUCAUCCUGGGCACACCCCAUGGUGGCUUCCCCACUCUGACCUUUUCUCCUCUUGCCUCCCUCUCCAGGGGAACCCAGCUCCCCUAUGUACCUCUCCUGCAGACUCCAACUCCCCAGCCCUCUGCUAGGGCUGACCCACCCUUACUUGUGGACUGUGAACCUAGGGAGGUGAAGAAACUGCUCACACCAGGCGCCUACUGUAUGCCUGGCACAAUAUUAGGUGUUUUAAAUGUU